rnacentral:tRNA from 1 species
GCCCGGUUAGCUCAAUCGGUAGAGCGUGAGACUCUUAAUCUCAAGGUUGCGGGUGAGUUACACAUUCAAUUCAGGAAUGCGCCGAUUCAUAAUACUGACAAUCUUCCAUAGGUUCGACCCCCGCAUCGGGCU